rnacentral:lncRNA from 1 species
UACAACUGUUUUUAAUUGUAUUUAAGAGGUCGGUUAUAAUCAUAAACAUAUGUCUUUGUAUGCCAUUUAGCAGGGCGCAAAAGGACUGCGUAAGGAAGAUCACGUUGGCUAAUUAAAUAGCCUCGCGUCGUGACGUCACUUAACAACAGCGUCAGUUUCAAAUAAUUUCGUACAGGUAAGACGCAAUUGUUAUUUUUAAUUUCCCUCCACCUUCCCCGUGUCUUGCCACCAUUAUGAAAAUGUUAUCUUGUUAAGAACGAUUAAUAACAAUGGCUUCUAAUUUAUGUUAUAUAUUGACAUAUGUUUUUGAUUUGUUUAUAAUUAACACACGGGAUAUCUUGUACAUCAGAUGUUUAAUGUAACACAUUUUUGUUAUAUACAUUAAAUGUUUUCAUAUUGAUACGUUCAAGAACAAUUGACAUUUCUUCAUAUACUUUUAUGUAGAGUUAACAGAUGGGCGGAUUUCCCCCACCUACAACAGUGCUUUUCGCAUUUAUUAUGUAAUGUUACUAUGUCAUUUCACUUUCCUGAACACCUACUUUUGUCAGGUGUUUACUAUUACAUAAUGUGAUGUGAUGUUAUAAUUUUAUGUCGUUUUUAAUAAAACGGCCAUUUCAAUCUAA